rnacentral:ncRNA from 1 species
CAUGUGUAACUGGCGGAGCGUGGGGAACCACGGGGGAGCACAUGGAACAAUAGCCGUACGCCUGGGCAC